AUGUUGAGCGUUUGCAGAGCGGUCUGCUCCUGGGUUCUGAUAUUGAUUCUGGAACUGAGAAAGCUGGAGUCGUUCAGAUGCUUGGGAGUGCAAAGGUUCACUAUGGCUCUGCACUCCAGGUUCAUGUUGAACAUUCGUAACAACGUCAGAAGCCACCUGAGGUUUCCCGGAACCAUCUUUGCUUAUUAACUUAUGUUGCUGCAGGGCCUGCUGCUUCAAUGUUUUUUGCUGGAUAAAUUUCUGCUGCUGCUGCUGCUGUUGUUGAAUCUGAUUAGGCUGUUGCGGAAAUUGUUGUUGUUGAUGUGAAUGCAGAGAAGAGUUAGCUCUGGACACAGACUGGAAACUUGCUGCAUUGAUAUUCUGAGCACUUGGCAUCUUCCCUACCGAUGUUACAGCUCCAUGCAAAUUUUUAGAUCCAAGGUUGUUGUCAGGAUUUGUUGUUCUAUAACCUUCCCCUGAAAUAUGAAGAAACAUACUUUAAAAUAUUCUGAUAGGUUAGUACUAGUGCCAAAGCACAAGAAAGGACCAUACAUAUAAAAUGAGAUGAUUAGGACAGACGAAAAAGCGAGAGCCUGAAGAGUUUACCUGCGUCUACACUUUUUUUGCUCACACCAACACCACCAUUUACAGAGUUACUAGCCACACCAGCCAGCUUUGGUUGCAUGUUGUCCGGUCUAUGACCAGCAGUCAUUUGGUUAGACACCGUUUGACUAUUUUGACCACCAGUAUCCUGCCUUUGCUUCUGCUGCUGAGACUGAGGUACCACCGUGGGCUCAGCAGAAAAUCCACCACUGUUGUUAUUAGUACCACUAUUAACGAAACCAGGUGUAGGAAUCAUCUGGGGAGCACUUCUUUGAGAACCCAUGUUCCCUCUUGAACCAAGAGAAAAGUUUCUCGGUGAAUUCUGGUAACCAUUAGACAUAUUACCUGAAAUGAAAUUGCUAAGGUGUCAGAGACUCGGCGUGAGAUUAAAAUUUCCAGGAAAAGUAUCUAUGAUCAAACCUCCAUGGAUGCCACCAGAAGCUAGAAGGUUUCCAGUGUUGACAGCUUUGCUUGUACUGCUGUUGUUUCCAGCUAUAGUAGUAUCAGCAGAGGGUGUAACCAUCGAAGUAGAAUUAUCCCCAGUAUGUGGUAAUCUUGGAGUAGGUAUCAUCGUAGUACCCCCACCAGCAUGUGAUAAUCCUGGAGUAGGUAUCAUCAUUCCAACAGAAGGAGAAUUAGAAUGUCGCUGAUUGUAGUUAUUCAAAUGUCUGCCUUUUAUUAGGCUCGUAAUCCUAGACUCAAGGGUUGACCGGUUCACGUAAUCCUCCUGUUAGUAUAAGUCGAAAAGAAAAAUCUUAAGGAAUGACAUGAGUCAACAAGCUGGAUGUAGAGGCAGAAAUAUUUUGAGAUACCUUUGAGACGGCCAUCUUAAACAGCCCCUCCUCUAAGCGUCUAGCAACAUCCAUAUACUUUGCCUUUGAUGCAGCAUCGGCCUGUGAUGGUUGCCGCUGCUGUAACAUGUUAAACCUGUACAAAUCAAUAGAAAAGUUAUUAUUCAUCAGCGAGCACAUACUUGUGGAGAGAAAAUAAAAGGAUAAAUCUAUGAAUAAAAAUUGCUUUUCUGUAAAUUUUUGAAGUCAAUAAAAUCGCACACCUGGCCAACCCACUGACGAAGACUAAGAAUAUGUUCUCUCACUUGGUCGGGAGUGAACAUUUCAGUUAAAGAAACACCCUUUAUCUUUGGUUUUCCAGGUUUUGAUGCAACAACGUCAGCAGACUCCACCACAACUUCUUCCUUCGGCUCUUUCUCCAUUUUAACGUUUUCUUGCUUUAGCGAGGCACCAGAUAAAUCAUGUUGACCUGGUUCACUGACAGGCCUAGGUUUGGGAACAUUUUCAACAGCUUCAUGUUUUAUCUCCUUGAUGCUGAAUCCUGCUUGAACAGAAACAUCAGGAAUCUCUUCUUUCACUUCCAACUUCUCUGACUUCAAUGCCGCAUGUGCGUCGCUCUGCAUAUGAUCCUUUCUUUCAGCAUUCUGAGAUGGUUCUGUCUCUGCUUUGGGAACAAUGGAGCUUUUACAAACUUCACUCUCACGGACCACUGGUUCAAAAGAAGGCUCCACCUUCAACCGUUUUGAUGAAGGUUCCAAAUUAUCUACAGUAUCAGUACAUCCAGGGGCACCAGAAACGGCUCCAUCAGUAGCGCAUGGUGAAUCAUUUGAUACUACAGCUCCGUUCACUACACUGCUUUCGCUUUUUAAACGGGCCUGGACACGCGCAUUAGCUUGCUGCUGAUGGUAGGUCUUAACUGGUACACAGACGGGGCACCGAGGAUCCUUGCAGUUUUUAUAGUGGCCAAUCAACGACUUCGUGGGGCGACAACGAGGAUACAAACACUGAGGCUCUACACAGCUGUUCAUGUGACUCAGUAGCUUCUGAACAGUAACGCAGUUUCGUCCCGGGCACUUCACUCCUGGCCGUUUGCAGGUCCGUGCAUGAAGCAGAAACAAGAGCCAUCUCUGUUGAUUUUGGAACUUGACAUCGCGAUUUCCAUAUCUACAUGCCGUUCCAGUUGCAUUUUGCAGACUGUGGGAUUCGGAUGCGGUGGAAGUAUGAAUUUGACCAAUAACAGACCCUUCCAUCAAAUUAUUAGGUUGAGCUUCAUCCGUACCGGUAACUCUUUCACGAAAAUCCUCCUGAACGUUCUGUUCACUCGACAUACCAUUAGACAUUUGAGUGUUUCCCUGAGACUGGGAAGGCCACUGAUCCUGUGGAUUGGAUUCUAAUUUUACUCCAACAGCAAGGUUGCUAAAACUGUGGACUGUAUCAGAGCCCGGGUGCAUCAUUUGCUGAACCUGUUGGCUAUUUUGAGGAAGGAGCGUGCAUAUAUCACUCUGACUUGUAACUGCUACAUGUUGAGCGUUUGCAGAGCGGUCUGCUCCUGGGUUCUGAUAUUGAUUCUGGAACUGAGAAAGCUGGAGUCGUUCAGAUGCUUGGGAGUGCAAAGGUUCACUAUGGCUCUGCACUCCAGGUUCAUGUUGAACAUUCGUAACAACGUCAGAAGCCACCUGAGGUUUCCCGGAACCAUCUUUGCUUAUUAACUUAUGUUGCUGCAGGGCCUGCUGCUUCAAUGUUUUUUGCUGGAUAAAUUU
rnacentral:lncRNA from 1 species